UCACAUCCAGAUCCAUAUAUCCUCUAUCACUGAUCAGCUCAUUCACUAUUUUUUAGAAGAUACAAGAAGCCAAGCCAGAAUUCAUUUAAGUGUUAUAUAUGGCCAUAACACUGAACUUCUUAGAAACCAAUUGUGGAGUGAACUUAGAUCAACCUAUAUCCCCAGUCAAGAUGCUUGGCUGAUCAGUGGUGAUUUCAAC
rnacentral:lncRNA from 1 species